AUGCCGACAGGUUAUUGCUCAGAACGAGCGAUUGGUUUUUGGGCUGUUGUUUGUGAUGACACAUCAUAUAAUGUGAUAAUUCACGAUCCGAUUCAAGCUCAGAAUUGAUGAUCCAACUAUUCGCCACGUUCUUCAUGUGGUUAUCGAAUGAUUUCUUGUGUUAAUUUAAAGAUUUCCCUUGUAUUAUUAUAUGCUUGAAUUAGAUGUUUUCGCUCACUGCGCUCACAUAUUUUGCAUGCCGUUUGCUUUUUCUUAUAUAUGUUUUGGCCGGAG
rnacentral:lncRNA from 1 species